AUGGGUAACCUACCCCGGGGAUGGGCAUAGCCGUUCUAACGGACGGGUAAUUCCCAGCGCCCCGGCGCGGCCGCAUGGCGGCGCCGGGAAAGGAGUUUCGCCCCGGGAGGGGCCCAUGUGGCAUUAGCUCGUUGGCGGGGUAACGGCCCACCAAGGCUGCGAUGCCUAGCGGGUGUGAGAGCACGACCCGCGCCACUGGCACUGCGACACUGGCCAGACACCUACGGGUGGCUGCAGUCGAGAAUCUUCGGCAAUGGGCGCAAGCCUGACCGAGCGACGCCGCGUGCGCGACGAAGGCCUUCGGGUUGUAAAGCGCUGUCGGGGGGGAGGAAAGCCCGAAAGGGCCUGACCUAUCCCCGGAGGAAGCACGGGCUAAGUUCGUGCCAGCAGCCGCGGUAAGACGAACCGUGCGAACGUUGUUCGGAAUCACUGGGCUUAAAGGGCGCGUAGGCGGGCGGUCAAGUCCGGGGUGAAAUCCCCCAGCUCAACUGGGGAACCGCCCCGGAUACUGGCCGCCUC
rnacentral:rRNA from 1 species